GUAGGUGGCAAGCGUUGUCCGGAAUUAUUGGGGCGUAAAGCGCGCGCAGGCGGUCCUUUAAGUCUGAUGUGAAAGCCCACGGGCUCAACCGUGGAGGGUCAUUGGAAACUGGGGGACUUGAGUACAGAAGAGGAAAGCGGAAUUCCAAGUGUAGCGGUGAAAUGCGUAGAGAUUUGGAGGAACACCAGUGGCGAAGGCGGCUUUCUGGUCUGUAACUGACGCUGAGGCGCGAAAGCGUGGGGAGCAAACAGGAUUAGAUACCCUGGUAGUCCACGCCGUAAACGAUGAGUGCUAAGUGUUAGGGGGUUUCCGCCCCUUAGUGCUGCAGCUAACGCAUUAAGCACUCCGCCUGGGGAGUACGGCCGCAAAGGCUGA
rnacentral:rRNA from 1 species